ACGUCAAGUCCUCAUGGCCCUUACACGCUGGGCUACACACGUGCUACAAUGGCGGUGACAGUGAGCAGCUAACCCGCGAGGGCAUGCUAAUCUCCAAAAGCCGUCUCAGUUCGGAUUGCUCUCUGCAACUCGGGAGCAUGAAGGCGGAAUCGCUAGUAAUCGCGGAUCAGCACGCCGCGGUGAAUACGUUCCCAGGCCUU
rnacentral:rRNA from 1 species